GAUGAACGCUGGCGGCGUGCCUAAUACAUGCAAGUCGAACGAAGAGUCUUUGUAGCAAUACGAGGGCUUCUUAGUGGCGAACGGGUGAGUAACGCGUUGGUGACCUGCCCCAAAGUGUGGGAUAACAGUCCGAAAGGAUUGCUAAUACCGCAUGUGGCCAUCGGGUUUAGAAACCGAUGUCUAAAGCAGCAAUGCGCUUUGGGAGGGACCUGCGUCCCAUCAGCUAGUUGGUGAGGUAACGGCUCACCAAGGCGACGACGGGUAGGGGGCCUGAGAGGGUGGCCCCCCACAAUGGAACUGAAACACGGUCCAUACACCUACGGGUGGCAGCAGAAGGGAAUAUUGCACAAUGGGCGAAAGCCUGAUGCAGCAACGCCGCGUGAGCGAUGAAGGCCUUCGGGUCGUAAAGCUCUUUUCUGGGAGAUGAGAAAGGACAGUAUCCCAGGAAUAAGUCUCGGCUAACUACGUGCCAGCCGCCGCCGUAAAAC
rnacentral:rRNA from 1 species